UUUUCUUGACAAAUAGUAGGGUAUAUGCAUUUGACAGGUUACAGGUAAGCUUUUUAACAAGACUCUAAAAAGCAAAUGCUUCUGCUACACCUCCUGCAGGAAUUUUCCACCAAGAAAUCAACGAGGUAGCACAGUUAUGCAAAUGCUAACAAGCAGUCUGCCAUAAACUGAUUUCAGGUGGAAGCUGUUUAUCAGCAAUUAUGUAAACUAGAGUUGAGGGGAAGUUACAGUCUACUGAGGUCAAGAGCUAUGUUGGCACUUAUUAACAGAAGAGAAAGUAGAUCCUUUGGCAGGGCGGUACCGGGUCAAUGUUCUGAAUUAAUGUUUACUUGGAAUGGACUAAUAGCUCUGUUAUCAUGCCGCAAUGAAAAUGUACGCACUGCUAUUUAGCUGAACAAAAUUUUAUGGUGGUGUCACACACGAUCUCAUGAAUAUGUCUGAGUGGCAGCCAGUAAUCGGAUAAGGCAACCAUUCAGUGAAACUGUUGUAAAAAACUUGCUCAGAUGCCAUACUGGCAACGUGAAAGAAAUGAUCCCCUGGCCAUUGAAACAA